rnacentral:sRNA from 1 species
CAGGCCGCGGCGGCUGGCUCGGGCCCCUACGGUCCCGGCGGCGGCUGGAGGAGGAAGCCAGGCGGCUGGCGGAGGAGGAGAGACGGAGGAGGCCGAGACCGGAGCGCCGCUCGCCGCAGACUUACUUCCCCGGCUCAGCAGGGAAAGGUUCCUAGAAGGUGAGCGCGGACGGUAUGCAAAGUUGUGAAUCCAGUGGUGACAGUGCGGAUGACCCUCUCAGUCGCGGCCUACGGAGAAGGGGACAGCCUCGUGUGGUGGUGAUCGGCGCUGGCUUGGCUGGCCUGGCUGCAGCCAAAGCACUUCUUGAGCAGGGUUUCACGGAUGUCACUGUGCUUGAGGCUUCCAGCCACAUCGGAGGCCGUGUGCAGAGUGUGAAACUUGAGUCUCACUCUGUCACCCAGGCUGGAGUGUAGUGGCAUGAUCUUGGUUCACUGCAACCUCUGCUUCUGGGAUUCAAGAGAUUCUCCCGCCUCAGCCUCCGAAGUAGCUGGGAUUACAGGACACGCCACCUUUGAGCUGGGAGCCACCUGGAUCCAUGGCUCCCAUGGGAACCCUAUCUAUCAUCUAGCAGAAGCCAACGGCCUCCUGGAAGAGACAACCGAUGGGGAACGCAGCGUGGGCCGCAUCAGCCUCUAUUCCAAGAAUGGCGUGGCCUGCUACCUUACCAACCACGGCCGCAGGAUCCCCAAGGACGUGGUUGAGGAAUUCAGCGAUUUAUACAACGAGGUCUAUAACUUGACCCAGGAGUUCUUCCGGCAUGAUAAACCAGUCAAUGCUGAAAGUCAAAAUAGCGUGGGGGUGUUCACCCGAGAGGAGGUGCGUAACCGCAUCAGGAAUGACCCUGAUGACCCAGAGGCUACCAAGCGCCUGAAGCUCGCCAUGAUCCAGCAGUACCUGAAG